rnacentral:rRNA from 1 species
UGGGGAAUAUUCCGCAAUGGGGGAAACCCUGACGGAGCAAUGCCGCGUGAGUGAAGAAGGCCUUUGGGUCGUAAAACUCUGUCUUGAGGGACGAAAAAAAUGACGGUACCUCAAAAGAAAGCCCCGGCUAACUACGUGCCAGCAGCCGCGGUAAAACGUAGGGGGCGAGCGUUGUCCGGAAUUACUGGGCGUAAAGGGCGUGCAGGCGGCCUGUGUAGUCAAGCGGUGAAAACCCGAGGCUUAACUUCGGGAUGGCCCUUGAAACCAACAGGCUUGAGGACAGGAGAGGGGAGUGGAAUUUCCGGUGUAGCGGUGAAAUGCGUAGAUACCGGAAGGAACACCAGUGGCGAAGGCGGCUCCCUGGACUGGUCCUGACGCUGAGGCGCGAAAGCGUGGGGAGCAAACAGGAUUAGAUACCCUGGUAGUCCACGCCGUAAACGAUGGGUGCUAGGUGUUGGGGGUAUCGACCCCUCCAGUGCCGCAGUUAACACAAUAAGCACCCCGCCUGGGGAGUACGACCGCAAGGUUG